rnacentral:rRNA from 1 species
UAGGGAAUCCUCCACAAUGGACGCAAGUCUGAUGGAGCAACGCCGCGUGAGUGAAGAAGGUUUUCGGACCGUAAAGCUCUGUUGUUGGUGAAGAAGGAUAGAGGUAGUAACUGGCCUUUAUUUGACGGUAAUCAACCAGAAAGUCACGGCUAACUACGUGCCAGCAGCCGCGGUAAUACGUAGGUGGCAAGCGUUGUCCGGAUUUAUUGGGCGUAAAGCGAGCGCAGGCGGAAGAAUAAGUCUGAUGUGAAAGCCCUCGGCUUAACCGAGGAAUUGCAUCGGAAACUGUUUUCUUGAGUGCAGAAGAGGAGAGUAGAACUCCAUGUGUAGCGGUGGAAUGCGUAGAUAUAUGGAAGAAUACCAGUGGCGAAGGCGGCUCUCUGGUCUGCAACUGACGCUGAGGCUCGAAAGCAUGGGUAGCGAACAGGAUUAGAUACCCUGGUAGUCCAUGCCGUAAACGAUGAGUGCUAAGUGUUGGGAGGCUUCCGCCUCUCAGUGCUGCAGCUAACGCAUUAAGCACUCCGCCUGGGGGAGUACGACCGCAAGGUUG